AGAGAAAUAAGCUUGACAGAAUGGUAGAGGAAGCAUGAUCCCUGUCAAAGACACAGCCCAUGUGAAGGCCAUUGGUUCAACAAUUAUUUGUGGAGCCCUUACUAUGGGCCAAGCAGGUGUUCUGGGUCCUGGGCCCACAGCCGAGAAAACAACCAAUACAAAUCCGAGCUAUCGCGAAGCUUACAUUCAAGAAGCCAGAAGGAAGGGAGCAGGGAGAAUGGAAGAGGAAAAAACAUGGCGGGGAUCUUCAAGGACAUGAAAUGCCACAGGUCUGACCCACGGAAUCAGCUUUGAUCGCUGCUGGGCUUCCUACCCGUAGAACAUUGCCUGGUACACGGUUAUGGGGAAUUCCAGAAACAUACCUUGCCCUCUGAGACCUCUGGAGUGUGGUUCAAGCCUCUCCCCGCCUGACAUGCUCUCCACUGCACGCCAGUGACCACCUGGAAAACCUUAAUCAUCCUUCAAGGGUCACAGAACGUGCUUUCCAGGUGUGUACCAUGGUGAAGAUACCAUACAGCCUCUGAAACACACACGCCCGACCGAUCACCCCAACAACCAGAUAGCAGGUGUUUGCCAUUGAGUCUUCUUCUCCUUCUCUUAUUCUAGGUCUUGGAAGAUAGUAAAGAUGUCCUUUGUUGAUUUUAACCUGAGACAGCUCUUCUAUAGUUUGUCAUAUAUCAUGAGAACUCAGUAAAUCAUCACUAAGCAUAAGGA